rnacentral:rRNA from 1 species
CAAUAAGCGGAGGAAAAGAAACCAACAGGGAUUGCCCUAGUAACGGCGAGUGAAGCGGCAACAGCUCAAAUUUGAAAUCUGGCUUCGGCCCGAGUUGUAAUUUGUAAAGGAUGCUUUGGGCGCGGCGCCAACUGAGUUCCCUGGAACGGGACGCCAAAGAGGGUGAGAGCCCCGUAUAGUUGGAUGCCUAGCCUAUGUAAAGCUCCUUCGACGAGUCGAGUAGUUUGGGAAUGCUGCUCAAAAUGGGAGGUAAAUUUCUUCUAAAGCUAAAUACCGGCCAGAGACCGAUAGCGCACAAGUAGAGUGAUCGAAAGAUGAAAAGCACUUUGAAAAGAGGGUUAAAUAGCACGUGAAAUUGUUGAAAGGGAAGCGCUUGUGACCAGACUUGCGCCGGGCAGAUCAUCCGGUGUUCUCACCGGUGCACUCUGCCCGGCUCAGGCCAGCAUCGGUUCUCGUGGGGGGAUAAAGGUCUCGGGAACGUAGCUCCUCCGGGAGUGUUAUAGCCCGGGGCGUAAUGCCCUCGCGGGGACCGAGGUUCGCGCAUCUGCAAGGAUGCUGGCGUAAUGGUCAUCAGCGACCCGUCUUGAAACACGGACCAAGGAGUCAAGGUUUUGCGCGAGUGUUUGGGUGUAAAACCCGCACGCGUAAUGAAAGUGAACGUAGGUGAGAGCUUCGGCGCAUCAUCGACCGAUCCUGAUGUAUUCGGAUGGAUUUGAGUAAGAGCGUUAAGCCUUGGACCCGAAAGAUGGUGAACUAUGCUUGGAUAGGGUGAAGCCAGAGGAAACUCUGGUGGAGGCUCGCAGCGGUUCUGACGUGCAAAUCGAUCGUCAAAUCUGAGCAUGGGGGCGAAAGACUAAUCGAACCAUCUAGUAGCUGGUUACCGCCGAAGUUUCCCUCAGGAUAGCAGUGUUGUCUUCAGUUUUAUGAGGUAAAGCGAAUGAUUAGGGACUCGGGGGCGCUUUUUAGCCUUCAUCCAUUCUCAAACUUUAAAUAUGUAA